UCCGUCGGUCGACGUACGUCUAGAGAGUUAGUUAGUACUAUGGCUCAGGACGAACGCUGGCGGCGUGCCUAACACAUGCAAGUCGAACGAAGCAUAGUAAUAUGCUUAGUGGCGGACGGGUGAGUAACGCGUGAACAAUCUGCCCUAUACAAAGGAAUAGCCUCGGGAAACUGGGAUUAAAACCAUAUAACACUUUAGUACCGCAUGGUACAGAAGUCAAAUUGAUUAAGAGGUAUAGGAUGAGUUCGCGUCUGAUUAGCUAGUUGGUAAGGUAACGGCUUACCAAGGCGACGAUCAGUAGCCGGCCUGAGAGGGUGAACGGCCACACUGGAACUGAGACACGGUCCAGACUCCUACGGGAGGCAGCAGUGGGGAAUAUUGCACAAUGGAGGAAACUCUGAUGCAGCGACGCCGCGUGAGUGAAGAAGGUCUUCGGAUCGUAAAACUCUGUCCUUGGUGAAGAUAAUGACGGUAGCCAAGGAGGAAGCCCCGGCUAACUACGUGCCAGCCGCCGC
rnacentral:rRNA from 1 species